ensembl:lncRNA
UUCGGCAACCUACAUCUCAGUGACCAAUCGUAUGUUCUACAGACUGUCAUGUGACACAAAGCCCCGCCCCAUUUGUGGAAUCAUUGAGAGCGCGAGUGGAACUACAGCGAUUCAGCGGUGACCGGCGCAGAUCCAACCAGCUGGAGGAUCCGGAGAGAUUUCUGAGGCGAUACGAACGCUCCUUACGUGGACUGGCUUCCUUUAUUUCUUCUUAAGAUUUUGAAGAAGAGGCUGUGCAGGACAGUAGAAGCUGUUGAAGUUUUGACUGUGGGUUUGUACUCUCCCUCUCACCCACGCUCUGUCUCCAAAAGCUGCAGAGGUUUCGCUGAGAUGGCAAAAACGCGUCGCGACGCAGGAACCGAUAUAAACUGUCAGCCUCCAAGAACACCAACACACGCACAUCUUGUCUUCAUUGGACCUCCAAGUAAGAGCUGUGAGGAUAAGAUACUACAGUGUUGAAUAAGAAAAACAGUAAUAUGAGGAGCUUUCCAAAAACUGACAAGCUGUAGUUAUAUUUUACAUAAAUGAUUGUUUGGGUUUUGGCUCCAGGCCCUUCACAUAAGGGAUUUAUUGGAGAGUGUGUGUUCCAAGACAAAUGAAGCUAUGUUGCAUAUAAGGACUCCAUACAUUCUCAUGCAAACCCUGACCAUAACUAUAUUUAAAAAAAUGACUAUAUAAUGACUUUCCAUGUAUAAGUUACGUCUGUAGAACA